UCAGGUGUGCUGCCCAAAGCGCGCAUUAAACGGGAAGCCGGUGCGUUCAAGCGAACAAUCCCGGCGCUGCCCCCGCAACGGUAAUCGACCGCGAUCCCCAGGAUCGCCGUUCGCUCAAACGCCACUGUGCCCUGGCAUGGGAAGGCGAGCGCGAUGCGAGUCGAGAGCCCGGAGACCGGCCUGAGCGG
rnacentral:ncRNA from 1 species